UACGUAGGGGGCAAGCGUUGUCCGGAUUCAUUGGGCGUAAAGAGCGUGUAGGCGGCCAGGUACGGUCGGUUGUGAAACUGGAGGCUCAACCUUCAGACGUCGACCGAAACCAUCUGGCUAGAGUCCGGGAGAGGAGAGUGGAAUUCCUGGUGUAGCGGUGAAAUGCGCAGAUAUCAGGAAGAACACCCGUGGCGAAAGCGGCUCUCUGGAACGGUACUGACGCUGAGACGCGAAAGCGUGGGGAGCGAACAGG
rnacentral:rRNA from 1 species